rnacentral:rRNA from 1 species
UACAGAGGUGGCAAGCGUUGUUCGGAAUUACUGGGCGUAAAGGGCGCGUAGGCGGCCUUCUAAGUCAGACGUGAAAUCCCCAGGCUUAACUUGGGAACUGCGUCUGAUACUGGGAGGCUUGAGUGCGGGAGAGGGAUGUGGAAUUCCAGGUGUAGCGGUGAAAUGCGUAGAUAUCUGGAGGAACACCGGUGGCGAAGGCGGCAUCCUGGACCGACACUGACGCUGAGACGCGAAAGCUAGGGUAGCAAACGGG